rnacentral:sRNA from 1 species
AGUGUGUGCCAGUGGCGGGUGUACCUCUGAGACUUCAGCUUUUAAAUUCCCGCCGGAGCAGACACUUCUGUUGUUUAGUCUGCCUUGUUCAUCCCGUUCGUGUGAGCUGGACACUGGACACUUCCCCCUCCGUUGGCCUCAUUCAGCUUGGGCAGGAGCAGGUGCUAAUCCAGCCCCUCAACAACUCCCAGGGCCCAUUCAGUGGACGAGAACAUCUGAUCAGGCGCAAAUGGUCCUUGACCCCCAGCCCUUCUGCCGAGGCCCAGAGACCUGAGCAGCUCUGCAAGUUUCUAACAGAAAAGAAGAAGCCGACGCGGGGCAGGCCUUCGCGGGACUGGCGGGAGCGGAGGAACGCUAUCCGGCUCACCAGCGAGCACACGGUGGAGACCCUGGUGGUGGCCGACGCCGACAUGGUGCAGUACCACGGGGCCGAGGCCGCCCAGAGGUUCAUCCUGACCGUCAUGAACAUGGUAUACAAUAUGUUUCAGCACCAGAGCCUGGGGAUUAAAAUUAACAUUCAAGUGACCAAGCUUGUCCUGCUACAACAACGUCCUGCUAAGUUGUCCAUUGGGCACCAUGGUGAGCGGUCCCUGGAGAGCUUCUGUCACUGGCAGAACGAGGAGUAUGGAGGAGCGCGAUACCUCGGCAAUAACCAGGUUCCCGGCGGGAAGGACGACCCGCCCCUGGUGGAUGCUGCUGUGUUUGUGACCAGGACAGAUUUCUGUGUACACAAAGAUGAACCGUGUGACACUGUUGGAAUUGCUUACUUAGGAGGUGUGUGCAGUGCUAAGAGGAAGUGUGUGCUUGCCGAAGACAAUGGUCUCAAUUUGGCCUUUACCAUCGCCCAUGAGCUGGGCCACAACUUGGGCAUGAACCACGACGAUGACCACUCAUCUUGCGCUGGCAGGUCCCACAUCAUGUCAGGAGAGUGGGUGAAAGGCCGGAACCCAAGUGACCUCUCUUGGUCCUCCUGCAGCCGAGAUGACCUUGAAAACUUCCUCAAGUCAAAAGUCAGCACCUGCUUGCUAGUCACGGACCCCAGAAGCCAGCACACAGUACGCCUCCCGCACAAGCUGCCGGGCAUGCACUACAGUGCCAACGAGCAGUGCCAGAUCCUGUUUGGCACGAAUGCCACCUUCUGCAGAAACAUGGAGCAUCUAAUGUGUGCUGGACUGUGGUGCCUGGUAGAAGGAGACACAUCCUGCAAGACCAAGCUGGACCCUCCCCUGGAUGGCACCGAGUGUGGGGCAGACAAGUGGUGCCGCGCGGGGGAGUGCGUGAGCAAGACGCCCAUCCCGGAGCACGUGGACGGAGACUGGAGCCCGUGGGGCGCCUGGAGCAUGUGCAGCCGAACAUGUGGGACGGGAGCCCGCUUCCGGCAGAGGAAAUGUGACAACCCCCCCCCUGGGCCUGGAGGCACACACUGCCCGGGUGCCAGUGUAGAACAUGCGGUCUGUGAGAACCUGCCCUGCCCCAAGGGUCUGCCCAGCUUCCGGGACCAGCAGUGCCAGGCACACGACCGGCUGAGCCCCAAGAAGAAAGGCCUGCUGACAGCCGUGGUGGUUGACGAUAAGCCAUGUGAACUCUACUGCUCGCCCCUCGGGAAGGAGUCCCCACUGCUGGUGGCCGACAGGGUCCUGGACGGCACACCCUGCGGGCCCUACGAGACUGAUCUCUGCGUGCACGGCAAGUGCCAGAAAAUCGGCUGUGACGGCAUCAUCGGGUCUGCAGCCAAAGAGGACAGAUGCGGGGUCUGCAGUGGGGACGGCAAGACCUGCCAGUUGGUGAAGGGCGACUUCAGCCACGCCCGGGGGACAGGUUAUAUCGAAGCUGCCGUCAUUCCUGCUGGAGCUCGGAGGAUCCGUGUGGUGGAAGAUAAACCUGCCCACAGCUUUCUGGGUAAAACACAAAUGACUUGACUCACCAUUUAUGUGUUGAGAAUCGAUUUUGAUGAUCAGUCUGGU